UAACUUAAAGGAAUUGACGGAAGGGCACCACCAGGCGUGGAGCCUGCGGCUUAAUUUGACUCAACACGGGGAAACUCACCAGGUCCAGACAAAAUAAGGAUUGACAGAUUGAGAGCUCUUUCUUGAUCUUUUGGAUGGUGGUGCAUGGCCGUUCUUAGUUGGUGGAGUGAUUUGUCUGCUUAAUUGCGAUAACGAACGAGACCUCGGCCCUUAAAUAGCCCGGUCCGCAUUUGCGGGCCGCUGGCUUCUUAGGGGGACUAUCGGCUCAAGCCGAUGGAAGUGCGAGGCAAUAACAGGUCUGUGAUGCA
rnacentral:rRNA from 1 species